UAUACGUGAGAUGUUCUUGUAAUUGUCAUAUUGGGAAGACACAUCUUGUAAUGUAAAUUUCUUAUUGAGAUUUUUGAGUGUCGAUUUUAGUUGAAUAGAAAAUAGAGAUUUGGUAGUUUGGUACAUUCGUUCGGUUUGUGCAUGUAUCUCCUAUCAAGCAUCAUCAUCGUCAUAUUAGCGUUGAAGAUUUCUAUAGGACACCACCUCAGGUUACCCCUAGGGGGCCACUUGAAGUGGCGGCCGAUAGAAAUCAUGCUUCUGUCAGACGCUUCCCUGUGUCACGUCUAUCGAGACAAAUUUAAAUAAUUGUUGCGUUUCAACCCUAAAAUUGGACUUCUUAUUUGUAACUUUUCAAGAGAGCCUCCUUUGGAGCUAGGGUUCGAAAGUCAUCUUGAAGUCUCUCACAUCCAUUCAUCAAAUCACAUUCAAAGAUGUGGAAUCCUUAUGGUGUAUUUUUUAGUCCAAAGUGCACGCAUAUAGAUUGAAGGUUUCUUCUUGAGUACAAAAUCGACGUGGUUCUCUCUACCCGGUAAAGUCAAGUCAAUCGAGGAGUUGAUUGGGGGUUUAUACAUAUGUUCUCUUGUGUAUGUUUGUAAUCUAAGAGAGCCUUCUUUGGAGCUACGGUUCAAAAGUCAUCUUGAAGUCUCUCACAUCCAUUCAACAAAUCACACUCGAAGAUGUGGAAUCCUUAUGGUGUAUUUUUUUAGUCCAAGGUGCACGCAUGUAGAUUGAAGGAAAAUUGGACUUCUUAUUUGUAACUUUUCAAGAGAGCCUCCUUUGGAGUUACAGUUCAAAAGUCAUCUUGAAGUCUCUCACAUCCAUUAACAAAUCACACUCGAAGAUGUGGAAUCCUUAUGGUGUAUUUUUUUAAUCCAAGGUGCACGCAUGUAGAUUGAAGGUUUCUUCUUGAGCUCAAAAUCGAGCUGGUUUUCUCUAUCCGAUAAAGUCAAGUCAAUCGAGGAGUUGAUUGGGGGGUUUCUACAUAUAUUCUCUUGUGUAUGUUUGUAAUCUAAGGUAAUACCCUUUGAGAGUUUAGUGGUAUUUUCAUUACUUUUUGUGGACAAGAUUUUCCUCGUUAAGUAAUUUCUUGAUUCUUAAUUAUUGUUUUCCAUAUAUCUUGCAAUUGAUUGUUUGAGUACUGAUUUUAAAUCA